GAUUAACGCUGGCGGCGUGCAUAACACAUGCAAGUCGAACGAAGUGGCGGAAGGGUGAGUAACGCGUGAGUAACCUGCCUUAGAGAAGGGGAUAGCCUUUGGGAACGAAGAAUAAUACCCUAUGCUCUAAGUGUGACUUGCGUCUGAUUCGUUCGUUGGUGGGGUAACGGCCCACCAAGACAGCGAUCCGUGGCCGGCUUGAGAGAGUGUACGGACACAUUGGGACUGAGAAACGGCCCAGACUCUACUGGAGGCAGCAGUGGGGAAUUCUGCACAAUGGAGGGAACUCUGAUGCAGCGACGCCGCGUGACGAAGAAGGCUUUCGAGUCGUAAAGUUCUUUUAUAUGGGAAGCGGUACCAUAAGAAAAAGCCCCGGCUAACUACGUGCCAGCAGCCGCGGUAAUAC
rnacentral:rRNA from 1 species